rnacentral:rRNA from 1 species
AUGCCAAAGAACAGCAAGGAGUACAGACAGAACAAACCAAAAAAACAAGGGCAAAUGCUAACUAAAAUGGUACCCAGUACACCAUCAUCAAAGACCAGCGAGAAAAAGGAAACAGGGGAGAGCACCAACAUUCAAGGCAAACAAACACAACAACACAGGGGAAUGGAACAAGCAGAAGAUGUUCUUCCAACAACAGACAACCUAACCUCCAUAGACCAAGCCGGAAAACUUUCGCUGUCCGGGCAAGAAAUAACAGAGAUGUCAACGUCGACGCAAAAGAUCGAAAAGCCACAAGACAAAAAUGACGACACCAUGGAGGUCCAAAAAUCUGCACUCACCGAAGAAAAGGUCGAAGAGGAAGCACCAGCAGAAACGACUGAAAAGAAACCUCAACAGGACACGCACGCAGACACAAGUAAAGAAGCAAAGGGCCACAGUGCAUUGGAAAACCAUGCGGCAAACAUUCCAGAGAAAGAGUCAGACAGCAACGAGAAAAAGUCCGCACCAUCAGACAAGAAACAUUGUGCUGUAAAAGAUGUUGCCACCACAAACACGGCGGUAACCCAGGGCAGCACUCAAACAAAACAUGAACCGUUGAUCAUACAAAACCUGGCCAUCGAAGAAGGGACAAAAGACAAAGGGAUCGAACACCUGUACAACAACGUCAUGACAGCGAAUAAGGACAAAGGGUAA